rnacentral:rRNA from 1 species
UGGGGGAUAUUGCACAAUGGGGGAAACCCUGAUGCAGCGACGCCGCGUGAGUGAAGAAGUAUUUCGGUAUGUAAAGCUCUAUCAGCAGGGAAGAAAGACCCGCAAGGGGGAUGACGGUACCUGAGUAAGAAGCCCCGGCUAACUACGUGCCAGCAGCCGCGGUAAUACGUAGGGGGCAAGCGUUAUCCGGAUUUACUGGGCGUAAAGGGAGCGCAGACGGUUAUGCAAGUCUGGAGUGAAACCCCACCGCGCAACUGUGGGCUUGCUGUGGGAACUGUGUAACGAGAGUACUGGAGGGGUAAGCGGAAUUCCUAGUGUAGCGGUGAAAUGCGUAGAUAGUAGGAGGAACACCGGUGGCGAAGGCGGCUUACUGGACAGCAACUGACGUUGAGGCUCGAAGGCGUGGGGAGCAAACA